AGGAAUUGGGCCAAAUCCACUCGGGUUAGGGCGGGCCGUAAUGGCUCCCCCGAGGGACAAAUCCUGUCUGGAACCCGUGAGGGUGAAGGGAUGUUAAGAGCUGCUCACAGUGGCUGGGCCCAGAGGAAGGUCACGGGCUGUGAGCGGUAACAGUGCCGGGGGGUCACGUCCGGGCUGUUACAUAAAAAGGCAAUUGGUACUCACUCUCACCAGACUAUUCCCUUAAAGUGGGAGGUCAAGGGUUCGAGUAGUGGGGGAGGCGACCUAAUUUCCAAAGGGAAAUUUGGGCCAAAUCCACUUUGGGGAAG
rnacentral:lncRNA from 1 species